rnacentral:rRNA from 1 species
UAUCUGAACCUUCGGGGAACGAUAUCGGCGUCGAGCGGCGGACGGGUGAGUAAUGCCUGGGAAAUUGCCCUGAUGUGGGGGAUAACCAUUGGAAACGAUGGCUAAUACCGCAUAAUAGCUUCGGCUCAAAGAGGGGGACCUUCGGGCCUCUCGCGUCAGGAUAUGCCCAGGUGGGAUUAGCUAGUUGGUGAGGUAAGGGCUCACCAAGGCGACGAUCCCUAGCUGGUCUGAGAGGAUGAUCAGCCACACUGGAACUGAGACACGGUCCAGACUCCUACGGGAGGCAGCAGUGGGGAAUAUUGCACAAUGGGCGCAAGCCUGAUGCAGCCAUGCCGCGUGUGUGAAGAAGGCCUUCGGGUUGUAAAGCACUUUCAGUCGUGAGGAAGGUAGUGUGUUUAAUAGAUGCAUUAUUUGACGUUAGCGACAGAAGAAGCACCGGCUAACUCCGUGCCA